rnacentral:ncRNA from 1 species
GGCUAUCCAGCAAGCCUAAAAGUGCUGGGCGGGAGGUCACGGCAACGACCUAAAAAGCCUA